UACGGAGGAGGCAAGCGUUAUCCGGAAUUAUUGGGCGUAAAGCGUCCGCAGGUGGCACUUCAAGUCUGUCGUCAAAGACUGGGGCUUAACCCUGGAAAGGCGGUGGAAACUGAAGCGCUAGAGUGUGGUAGGGGUAGAGGGAAUUCCCGGUGUAGUGGUGAAAUGCGUAGAUAUCGGGAGGAACACCAGUGGCGAAGGCGGCAUCCUGGACCGGCAUUGACGCUGAGGCGCGAAAGCUAGGGGAGCAAACGGG
rnacentral:rRNA from 1 species